rnacentral:rRNA from 2 species
AAGAACAGGUGUCAGAGUAACUGUUGACAUCUUGACGGUAUCCAACCAGAAAGCCACGGCUAACUACGUGCCAGCAGCCGCGGUAAUACGUAGGUGGCAAGCGUUGUCCGGAUUUAUUGGGCGUAAAGCGAGCGCAGGCGGUUUUUUAGGUCUGAUGUGAAAGCCUUCGGCUUAACCGGAGAAGUGCAUCGGAAACCGGGAGACUUGAGUGCAGAAGAGGACAGUGGAACUCCAUGUGUAGCGGUGAAAUGCGUAGAUAUAUGGAAGAACACCAGUGGCGAAGGCGGCUGUCUGGUCUGUAACUGACGCUGAGGCUCGAAAGCAUGGGUAGCGAACAGGAUUAGAUACCCUGGUAGUCCAUGCCGUAAACGAUGAGUGCUAAGUGUUGGAAGGUUUCCGCCCUUCAGUGCUGCAGCUAACGCAUUAAGCACUCCCCCUGGGGAGUACGACCCCAAGGUUGAAACUCAAAGGAAUUGACGGGGG